rnacentral:lncRNA from 1 species
AGCGAGCGCAGAGAUGGCUUUAGGGAUGGAGAUGCUGCUUGAGGAGCCCGCAGAUAAGUUUUUCUAUUAAAAAAGAUAGGCGUUAGUGUAUUUCUUUAGGGAUUAUAAGUAGUGAAAAUACGGAGAUACUGCUUUGCAUUAAGUUCUUAGAUAAAUUUUAGGGAAAAUAUGAAGACUUAAAGAGUAGUUGGAGAAAGGAAGAGGGAAGAAAAAAGAUAAUUUUAGAACCUGAGGGAGGUUAAGAGCUGAAAUUUUUUCAUGGAGUGAAAAAUUUAAAAGAAUUGAUGAGCUAGGACUGCAAUGUCUGGAUUUUUUUUUUAAAGCCUUAACUUGAAGGGCAACCUUUUACCUUAACAUUAAAACGUUGGGUUACGUAAAUCGAACCUAAACGUUUUAAAAGGUUGAGUUGUAGGUGAUUAAAAUACUACAAAGGCCAUCUUAAGAUUUAACUGAAGGUGGUUUCAGAAAUAAUGCCUUCAGAUUCACGGCGCAGUAAAAAUGGCGUCAUUUGAAGCCUGCUUGAUACUAAGGCUUUGUUUGGCUAAAGUUGACGGAAAUAUUAGGAAUGGUAGGAAAGAAAAUUGGAAGUUUGAAGUGGAAAAUUCGGAAGACAGAAGUACAGGAAGGUGAAGAAAAAACUAGAGAAGAUAAGAGAUACACGUUUUAGAAGAUAAAACCUGAGCCUAGUAAGUAGGCAGAAAAAGACAAAUCUAGGAGAAAAUUGAAAAUACGGUCGAGUGCUUAAGAUAGAAUGAAAAGAAAGCUAUUGGACGCAAACAUACAAGAUAGACGUCCAAAAAUUUAGAUAGUUCAAAAUCAAUAAUGUUGGAUAAAUUACAGGAACAAAAACUAAGGAAAUUUUUAUAGCCAAUAAGAAUUUAUUGUAAAAGCCCAUCAACUUAUUUCUGGUGGUGCAAAAGUUAGAUCUCAGAAGAUGAGGGUUUUUUUUUUUUAAAACUACUGUAGACCAGGACCAACUUAGAAGAAAAUCCGGAAACUAGGAGAGUCAAUUUAAAAUCUCAGCAAAAAGUUACUGAAGGGGACUGAAGUAACUUAAAAGUUAAGAAUGUAUUUGGGAGAGUUAAAAAUCUGAAAGGCCUUAAAUGCGGUAGCGUAGUUUCCUUUGGAAAAUGUAAAGGACUUUAUAAGUGAAUUAAAUUGAAGAGCAAGAAUAACCAUCGAGUUAUUGGACUUUGAGCUAAGAUGAAUGUUUAAAUCCUGAGGACUAGGCGCUAAAUAACAGCUGACGCAGGUGCUACGCAGAAGUGGAUUCAGUGAAGCUAGGAAGACAGGAGCGGCAGACAGGAUUCGGAGCCAGUGUUGGUGAAAACUAGGACUGAGGAGCCAGCGGCAGUUCGUGAAGAUAGGAAAGAGAAGCCCGGGAGCCAGUGCGACUUGGUGAAGGAAGCUAGGAAGAAGGAGCGAGUCCUAACGAUUUGGAGGUGAAGCUAGGAGAGGAUUCCAGGAAGGAGGAAGCCAGUGCGGUGUGGUGAAGCUAGCGUGCGGCUUGGCUUGGCAACCACGCGGAGGCGGCGAGCAGGCGGAGUGGAGGAUAGAUAGAGGAUCCUAGAGCAGCAGACCAGUGUACGAGCCCCGCAGGGAGAGCCAGUGGUGUGGUAAAAAUCCGUGAAGUCGGCACUAUCGUGGGUUUUUUUUCCUCCUGUAACUCAGUAUGGUAAUAUCUCUUAUUAAAUUUUCCUAAUAGUAAUGGGGGAGUUGUGUACUUAAGCAUAAAGGGGAUUUUAUUACGGGGAUGUAGGCCGGUUUUCGGGUGUCGUAGGUUUCUCUUUUUCAGGCCUAUUUUCUCAUGCAUCUUGUCUGGAGCUUUUGAGGGCAGACUUCAAGGCCCGGAGGAAUGGUAGAUGGCAAGUGUUCUUGUUUUUAACCAAUAUGAGGGAUGUCCUGAAUUUGGUAGAACAACUGUGAGACAACUUCAGCAAGCUUUGUAAACAGGUUUUAUAUUCAGUUUGGGGGUAAUGAAGCAUUUCAGUUUCGUGAGUAGAGGGCCUACUUUUCUUUCCUCACCCUGUAUUUUAAAAGUCUUCUAAAUAUGUAGUUUCGGUGUAUAAUUCUGGGCGGGGGGAGUUUUUUUGGGGGGGGAGCAAAAUAUGUUUUGAGUUCUUUUCCCUUUAGGUCUGUCUAGAAUUCCAAAGGCAAAUGACUCGAGGUAACAGGCGAAAAGAAAAUCCAAUAUCAGGAUAAUCAGAACACUGCAGGUUUACAGUUAUAGAAACUCUAGCACAAGCAGCUUUCACUUUGAGGUCUGUGGCGCAGCUGUCCAUUGGAGUAAUGGCUGGUAGUUUAUUCUUUUUUUCCCCACCCCUUUAUUAAAUAUUUUUAUAAAGUACGUAACUGGUUAUUUUUACUUAAAUAUUUUGGGGUGGUGUGAACAGGGAAGAGGGUGGGGGAGAAACUUUUUUUUUCUAAGAUUUUCCACAGAUUCUAUAGUACUAUUGACAAUCUGAGUUAGAGAAGGAUUGUACUGCUACGCUGUUUGGCACCAACACCUUCAGGGAUUGGAGCAGCUUUUUUCCUUGGAAGAGUAUUCCCAGUGAAGCUGAAAUGUACAGCCCAGUGCAGCUUUGGUUCAUAUUCAGUCAUCUCAGGAGAACUUCAGAAGAGCUUGACUAGGCCAAAUGUUGAAGUUAAGUUUUCAAAUAACGACUUUUAAGAUACCUUUAUUAAAGGGGAGGGGCAAAUUUUGGCGAUUUGUAGUUGGCAGUGGCUUGUAAUGAUUGGGAUGGGGGGGGCGUGGGUUUAGGUAAUUGUUUAGUUUUUGAUUACAGAUAAACUCAUGCCAGAGAACUUAAAUACUUAAGGUGGAAAAACUAAAGAAAUCUCAACUUCCAAGUUGGCAAGUAACUCGAAAUCCUCUGGUUCUGUUUUGCCCCAAUUUUUGAAUUUAACAGAUGGGGAAGUUGAUGACGAUUCACUGGAUUUAAAAGAGUAGGGCUUGGGAAAGGAAAAUGACUGGGGGUUGGUCUGGCCCUCUGCGCUGACUUAGAUAAAAACUUGGGGAAUUUUUUUUUAAAUGGUAAAGUUCGGAUAUAGUGUGUGGUUCUCUCUUGGAAUAUUUUUCAGGUGAUUUAAUAAAACUUAAUACUACUAUAGGAGCUUCAGAGCAAAGGAGGUGGCUUAAUGAUCCUGAAGGGAUUUCUUCUGGUGGUAGCUUUUGUAUUAUCAAACUUUUUUCAGAUAACAUCUUCUGAGUCAUAACCAGCCUGGCAAUCUGAUGGCCUAGAUGGAGAGGGGAACAGCUCCUUGGUGAAUGAUAAGUAAAGGCAGAAAAGAUUGUAUUUCAUACCUACAUUGGGGAAAAAAGCAUAACCCUGAGAUUUUCUUCUGAUGAACACAUUGUCUGCACAUGCAAAAAAAAAAGCAAAUGAAAACUACCAAUUUAAAGUUAAUGGAAUCUACUACUAUAAAGUUAAUGGCUUAUCAAGCUGUAUCCACAAAAAUAAUGAAUUGAUGAAAAAUAAAAAUAACGAUACAAUGAAGAUCAAAAUGUCAAUCUCAAUACUGCUUUUACAAAAGCAGAAUUAAAAAAGCGAAAUGAAAAUAGCGCUACAUAUUAAUCCUGGAAAAAAAAGAAGCUGAAAUAAUUGAAAUGAGUGGGAUCAAGUGAAUUGAGAGGAGGAAGAGGCUGUGCUGUUUGCCAAUCUUUCGUUUGCCUCAGACAGGUUUUUCUUCAUUAUCAGAAGAGUUGCUUCAUUUCAUCUGGGAGCAGAAAACAGCAGGCAGCUGUUAACAGAUAAGUUUAACUUGCAUCUGCAGUAUUGCAUGUUAGGAAUAAGUGCUUACCUUUGUGAAGAGCUGUGGAAGUCCUAGGUCCCUUACCUAAGGGAUUCCAGGAUUGUGAGGCAUCGUCCCAUCCAGCCUUUUAAAAUUAGACAGGACAGCGUUCCUGUGGGCUUUGAUGAUGGGACAGCACAUUUCAUUCAAGAGGCAAGUAAUUCCUUAAAGCCUCUUGAGAUUAGCAAAGAUAAUGUUUAUAAAACUAAGAACAUUUGUUUAGCCUUGAAUCUGACAGCCCUAUUUAAGGGAUAGUAUUGUACUGUUAAGAAUUCAGAUUUUGUUAAUCUUGCUAAAAUUCAAAUGUUACGUGUAUUGUGCAGAAAACCAUUAAAUCAUUCAAAAUAAAAUACUUUUAUUUUUAGAGAAUGUAUGCUUUUAGGAAGCUGUCUCCUUAUUUAAAUAAAACAUUGUUUGUCUGUAGUUAGUGUUGGGGCAAUCUGGGGGGGGUUUCUUCUCAUCUUUCAGAAACUUUGUCUGCGAACACUCUUUAAUGGACAAGAUCAGGAAAUUGAGCAGAAGAACGAAUUUAAUUUAAGAGGCUUCAUUUCAUCCUUCGUGAAGCUUUUCAGGAUUUUGGCUUUCAUGUAAACGCUUGGCUCUGCCUUCUGUUCUCCUAGGGAGUGUUUCAGACCUUGCAGUGAGUUUAUCGGCAUAUUUAAGUAUAAACAUUUUUCCCCUUGAAUUUGGAGGGAAGGGAGGAGAGGGUGGGGCUUACUUGUUUUAGCUUUUUUUUUUACAGACUACACAGAAUGCAGUUGUCUUGACCUCAGGUCUGUGUGUUCUCUUGGCAAGUAAUACAGUACUGUUCUGAUCCGCUGCUAUUAGAAUGCAUUUUGAAACGACUGGAGUAUGAGUCAAAGUUGUGUUUCCCCCAAUGCUUGGAGUGGAGUAGUGAUUGUUAAAAGAAAAUCCAGCUGAGUGAUAAAAGGCUGAGUGUUGAGGAAAUUUCUGCAGCUUUUUAAGCAUUCAUGUUUGUGAUUGGAGCGGAGUCCCUUUUGCUGUGCUUUUUUUUAGGUAAAAUGCUUUUUGUUCACUUCUGGUAAGGGGGUGGGGAGGGCACUGAAGCCUUUAGUCUUUUCCAGAUGCAACUUUAAAAUCAGUGACAAGAAAUAAUUCCAAACGAGCAGCACUCUUGAAGAAAUUUAACUGGCAAGUGGAAAUGUUUACCAACAGUUCAGUGGUCUUAGUGCAUUUGUUUUUGUUUGGGUGUCUCUCUCUCCUCCCCUGGUCUUAAUUUCAUAUACAGGAACAUUCAAAACAACAGACAGACGUAUGCGAAAGGCCAGAGAAGCCAGACCCAGUAAGGAAAAAUAGCUUACUUACUUUUAAAAUAAUAAACCAAAAAACACUGCAUUUUAAAUGUGGGGAUUGGGAACCACUAGUUCUUUCAGAUGGUAUUCUUCAGACUAUAGAAGGAGCUUCCAGUUGAAUUCACCAGUGGACAAAAUGAGGACAACAGGUGAACAAGUUUUUUCUAUGUCUACAUACCAAGUCAGAUCUGUAUGAGUAAACAACAAUUCAGUGUUAAAUGACCUUUCAGCUUUACGCUGGAGUCAACAGCAUGAGCAAGUUGUUUGUUGGCCUGGGGGUGGAGGGGUGAGGUGGGCGCUAAGCCUUUUUUUUAAGAUUUUUCAGGUACCCCUCACUAAAGGCACCAAAGGCUUAAAGUAGGACAACCAUGGAGUCUUCCUGUGGCAAGAGAGACAACAAAGCGCUAUUAACUAAGGUCAAUCAAAAUGGUGUCGGCCUCACAGCCCCAUCUUCUGUUAGAAAUGAGGACUUGACUCAACCCCCUUGACAAUGUGCAUUGAGGCUCUUUGGGGGAGCGAGCAUUUAAAGGAAUGCUUGAGUACCUUGUAUAUAUAUCCCUGUGCUUGUCCUAAUAUUUAAUUUGGCUGUUUUCAUAGCAGCUGUUAAUGAAGCCUGAACUUCAAGUGAUGCUUGAAGGGGAGGGAAAGGGGGAAAGCGGGCAACCACUUUUCCCUAGCUUUUCCAGAAGCCUGUUAAAAAGCAAGGUCUCCCCACAAGUGACUUCUCUGCCACAUCGCCACCCUGUGCCUUUGGCCUAGCGCAGACCCUUCACCCCUCACCUCGAUGCUGCUGGUAGCUUGGAUCCUUGUGGGCAUGAUCCAUAAUCGCUUUUAAGGUAAUUGCCAAGGUCUUCCGGUGGGUUGCACUACUAGAAAAGACCAUUAAUUUACCUGUCAACAGGUAAUAUUUAGACCACAACUAAAAAGCUCUUAAAGUGUUGUAAAUGUGUGGCAUUAUCCAAUGACUUUAAAAAAACAUUUCAAACCAGUAAGUGGAGAAAUAGCAUCUAAGAACUGUCAUAUUGGGUGGGAGAGUACAUUUAUGAACUGAAAAGUGUUUUGGCAGUUGAGAGGGCUGUUGGGUGGGAUUGCAAAAAUUCUCUGCUAAGACUUUUUCAGGUGAACAUAACAGACUUGACCAAGCUAGCACCUUAGCUGAAGCAGAUUCUCCAGUGCUCUUCAAUAGGGUUAUUGAUAAAGGUUUUUCUUUUCCUGAGAAAACAAAAUCUUUUUUGUUUUCUCAGGUUUUGCUUUUUUGCCUUUUCUUAUCUUAAAAAAAAAAGCAAAAGAUGCUGGUGGUUGGCACUCCUGGUUUCCAGGACGGGGUUCAAAUCCCUGUGGCGUCUUUGCUUGACUUUUACUCUCCAGACUCUACUUCCUGUCUCUCAGGUGCUAGGCCUUAGAAUUAGGGGAGGUGGAAGAUAAUAGUGUGAAACUCUGCAUUUGUGUUUACAUGACAACGUAAUGUAACUACCAUGCAUCUAAUUUGCAGAUAUUCCUCAUGCAACUAGUGAUUGGAGAAGCCUGUUUUGAAAAAUUGAUUACACAUAUCAAUAAAAAUUGAAAAAACUUCACUGGUGUGAUUCAUUUAUGUAUAUACCAAACUUCU